rnacentral:rRNA from 1 species
GCGUCUGAUUAGCUAGUUGGUAAGGUAACGGCUUACCAAGGCGACGAUCAGUAGCCGACCUGAGAGGGUGACCGGCCACAUUGGGACUGAGACACGGCCCAAACUCCUACGGGAGGCAGCAGUGGGGAAUAUUGCACAAUGGGGGAAACCCUGAUGCAGCGACGCCGCGUGAGCGAAGAAGUAUUUCGGUAUGUAAAGCUCUAUUAGCAGGGAAGAAAAUGACGGUACCUGACUAAGAAGCACCGGCUAAAUACGUGCCAGCAGCCGCGGUAAUACGUAUGGUGCAAGCGUUAUCCGGAUUUACUGGGUGUAAAGGGAGCGUAGACGGAUGGGCAAGUCUGAUGUGAAAACCCGGGGCUCAACCCCGGGACUGCAUUGGAAACUGUUCAUCUAGAGUGCUGGAGAGGUAAGUGGAAUUCCUAGUGUAGCGGUGAAAUGCGUAGAUAUUAGGAGGAACACC